rnacentral:rRNA from 1 species
GAAUCUUGGACAAUGGGGGAAACCCUGAUCCAGCCAUGCCGCGUGAGUGAUGAAGGCCCUAGGGUUGUAAAACUCUUUCGGCGGGGACGAUAAUGACGGUACCCGCAGAAGAAGCUCCGGCUAACUUCGUGCCAGCAGCCGCGGUAAUACGAAGGGGGCUAGCGUUGUUCGGAAUUACUGGGCGUAAAGCGCGCGCAGGCGGUUCUUCAAGUCAGAGGUGAAAGCCCAGAGCUCAACUCUGGAAUGGCCUUUGAGACUAGAGAACUAGGGUACGGGAGAGGUGAGUGGAAUUCCGAGUGUAGAGGUGAAAUUCGUAGAUAUUCGGAAGAACACCAGUGGCGAAGGCGGCUCACUGGCCCGUUACCGACGCUCAGGCGCGACAGCGUGGGGAGCAAACAGG